rnacentral:rRNA from 1 species
CCUACGGGGGGCAGCAGUGGGGAAUAUUGCACAAUGGGGGAAACCCUGAUGCAGCGACGCCGCGUGAGUGAAGAAGUAUUUCGGUACGUAAAGCUCUGUCAGCAGGGAAGAAAAUGACGGUACCUGACUAAGAAGCCCCGGCUAACUACGUGCCAGCAGCCGCGGUAAUACGUAGGUGGCGAGCGUUAUCCGGAUUUAUUGGGCGUAAAGCGUCCGCAGCCGGUUUAUUAAGUCUAAGAUUAAAGCCCGAAGCUUAACUUCGGUUCGUUUUAGAAACUGGUAGACUCGAGU